rnacentral:rRNA from 1 species
UGGGGAAUAUUGGGCAAUGGGCGAAAGCCUGACCCAGCAACGCCGCGUGAAGGAAGAAGGUUUUCGGAUUGUAAACUUCUGUCCUCAGGGAAGAAGGACGUGACGGUACUUGAGGAGGAAGCCCCGGCUAACCACGUGCCAGCAGCCGCGGUAAUACGUAGGGGGCGAGCGUUGUCCGGAAUGACUGGGCGUAAAGGGCGCGUAGACGGCUGUCUAAGUCUGGAGUGAAAGUCCUGUUUUCAAGGUGGGAAUUGCUUUGGAGACUGGAUGGCUUGAGUGCGGAAGAGGUAAGUGGAAUUCCCAGUGUAGCGGUGAAAUGCGUAGAGAUUGGGAGGAACACCAGUGGCGAAGGCGACUUACUGGGCCGUAACUGACGUUGAAGCGCGAAAGCGUGGGGAGCGAACAG